rnacentral:misc_RNA from 1 species
UGCGGCUGGAUCCCCUCCUUUCUAAGGAUAUAUUCGGAACAUCUUCUUCGAAGAUGAAAAGGAAUAACGUGACAUAUUGUAUUCAGUUUUGAAUGUUUAUUAACAUUCAUUUUUAUAAUGGGCCUAUAGCUCAGCUGGUUAGAGCGCACGCCUGAUAAGCGUGAGGUCGGUGGUUCGAGUCCACUUAGGCCCACCAUUUAAGUUAAUAUUCUUUUUGGGGGCUUAGCUCAGCUGGGAGAGCGCCUGCUUUGCACGCAGGAGGUCAGCGGUUCGAUCCCGCUAGUCUCCACCAUGAUAUAUUGUACAUUGAAAACUAGAUAAGUAAGUAAAUAGAUUUUACCAAGCAAAACCGAGUGAAUAGAGUUUUAAAUAAGCUUGAAUUCAUAAAAAUAAUCGCUAGUGUUCGAAAGAACACUCACAAGAUUAAUAACGCGUUUCCUGGUGGAAAUAUAGAUUAAGUUAUUAAGGGCGCACGGUGGAUGCCUUGGCACUAGAAGCCGAAGAAGGACGUUACUAACGACGAUAUGCUUUGGGUAGCUGUAAGUAAGCGUUGAUCCAGAGAUUUCCGAAUGGGGAAACCCGG